CUCCUCGUCUGCCCACGUGUUCUUGCAUACCCCGAGAGCAUCUGGCCAGCGGGGUGAUGGCACUGGAAUCCUCAUCUCUCCCAAGUGGACAUUCUCUCUUUCUCCCCUGACCCAUCUGUCUAUCGCCUCCUUUGAAUUCCAUGCUGUCACAGUUACCAGCCCUUUCAAGCUUAACAUCCUUAUCAUUUAUCGCCCUCCAGGUUCCCUUGGAGAGUUCAUCAAUGAGCUUGAUAAGUUCCUUUCCUGAGGAUGGCUCACCUCUCACAGUUCUGGACCAUUUCCGGAGACCUUCUCCCUUACCUCACCUCGCUCAUCAACUCAUCCUUGACCGCUUGCUACGUCCCUUCCGUCUUCAAGAGAGCGAGAGUUGCACCCCUUCUGAAAAAACCUACACUCGAUCCCUCCGAUGUCAACAACUACAGACCAGGAGAGAAACCAAAAGCCUACUGUCGCCUCAUGGGUCUCCCGGUCACAGCCGGCACAGACUCAUCCUGCUGCUGAUGACGACGAUGACCUUGACACCAGCGUCAGUAGUACAGAGCCUGUAGACCCAUUGGAUGAAUGCUUUCAGACUGGAAUAAGCUCAAGCUCAACAUCAUCUGACUUUGAAACAAGCCAGGACAGCCAAAGGAGACUUGCAGUACAAAUCAAAGCAUUGGGAAGUGAAGAAAGUGUACGAGAGGCUUGUCCACCUGGCUGUGGAGUGCAGAAAGGACCAGACGGUUGUCUACAAGGAGCCUGAGUCACAGCUCCCCAAACCCAACAUCCCUUCCAACAUCGCCACAGCACCAAAGCCUGCGAAAACAGCUUCCAUUACGCAGCACAAGAAGAGGUUCACCAGUUGAAGAACAUUCUGGAACCUGCUUGGAACAUUCAACCAACACAACACCUUAUUCAGUUAAACUCUUGUUGUAGUAUAAUAUUGUAUGUUCAUUACUGCAUUGUGCUAUAUAUAUAUAGCUGUUGUACAUAUGUAUAUAAUGGUGUCGUAUGUGAUAUUUUGUACAAGUGUACUGACAAGUGACUAAAUGGAAUUCCAGCUGUAUCAGAAACCAAUAAAGUGUUGGAUCAAUUCAUUGUGAUCCCUUACGAAAAAAGAUUGCAGUCAGAAUGCAGUAUAACUGUGGUACACUGCAGUAUAACUGUAGUUAGA
rnacentral:lncRNA from 1 species